rnacentral:rRNA from 1 species
GACGAACGCUGGCGGCGUGCUUAACACAUGCAAGUCGAACGGAAAGGCCCUGCUUUUGUGGGGUGCUCGAGUGGCGAACGGGUGAGUAACACGUGAGUAACCUGCCCUUGACUUUGGGAUAACUUCAGGAAACUGGGGCUAAUACCGGAUAGGAGCUCCUGCUGCAUGGUGGGGGUUGGAAAGUUUCGGCGGUUGGGGAUGGACUCGCGGCUUAUCAGCUUGUUGGUGGGGUAGUGGCUUACCAAGGCUUUGACGGGUAGCCGGCCUGGGAGGGUGACCGGCAACGAAGGGCUUGAGGUGCAGCCCGAGCACCACGGGGAGGCAUAAGUGGGAAAUUAGGCACAAGGGGGGGAACCCUGAAGCGGGAACGCGGGGGGGGGUAGGGCGGCUUUAGGGUUGUAAACCGCUUUCCCCUGGAAGGAGGGUCAGUGAAAGGAAAUGGAUAAAAAGACACCGAGAAAUUAGGG